AAACCGGAGCUAAUACCGGAUAAUCCCUUUCUCCACCUGGAGAGAGGGUGAAAGAUGGCUUCGGCUAUCACUAGGGGAUGGGCCCGCGGCGCAUUAGCUAGUUGGUAAGGUAACGGCUUACCAAGGCAACGAUGCGUAGCCGACCUGAGAGGGUGAUCGGCCACACUGGGACUGAGACACGGCCCAGACUCCUACGGGAGGCAGCAGUAGGGAAUCUUCCGCAAUGGACGAAAGUCUGACGGAGCAACGCCGCGU
rnacentral:rRNA from 1 species